CCUUUGUACACACCGCCCGUCGCUACUACCGAUUGAAUGGCUCAGUGAGGCUUUCGGACUGGCCCAGAGAGGUGGGCAACUACCACUCAGGGCCGGAAAGUUAUCCAAACUCGGUCAUUUAGAGG
rnacentral:rRNA from 1 species